UACGUAGGGGGGCUAGCGUUAUCCGGAAUUCUGGGCGUAAAGGGUGCGUAGGCGGUUGUUUUUUUUAGUUUGGUGUGAAAUCUCCCGGCUCAACUGGGAGGGUGCGCCGAAUCUGAAUGACUAGAGUGCGGGGAGAGGAUAGUGGAAUUCCUGGUGUAGCGGGUGAAAUGCGUAGAUAUCAGGGAGGGAACACCCGGGGUGGGUGUAGACGGGCUAUCUGGGACCGUA
rnacentral:rRNA from 1 species